rnacentral:rRNA from 1 species
AUACGGAGGGUGCGAGCGUUAAUCGGAAUUACUGGGCGUAAAGCGCGCGUAGGCGGCUUGGUCAGUCGGAUGUGAAAGCCCCGGGCUCAACCUGGGAAUUGCAUUCGAUACUGCCAGGCUAGAGUAUGGGAGAGGGAAGUGGAAUUUCCGGUGUAGCGGUGAAAUGCGUAGAUAUCGGAAAGAACACCAGUGGCGAAGGCGACUUCCUGGCCCAAUACUGACGCUGAGGUGCGAAAGCGUGGGGAGCGAACAGGAUUAGAUACCCUAGUAGUCC